rnacentral:rRNA from 1 species
AGAACGAACGCUGGCGGCAUGCCUAAUACAUGCAAGUCGAACGAGAUCUCGGGUCUAGUGGCGCA